rnacentral:rRNA from 1 species
UGGGGAAUAUUGGGCAAUGGAGGAAACUCUGACCCAGCGACGCCGCGUGCGGGAUGAAGGCCUUCGGGUUGUAAACCGCUUUCAGUUGGGAAGAAGCGAAAGUGACGGUACCUACAGAAGAAGCACCGGCUAACUAUGUGCCAGCAGCCGCGGUAAUACAUAGGGUGCAAGCGUUGUCCGGAAUCACUGGGCGUAAAGCGCGUGUAGGCGGCCCGAUUAGUCGAGUGUGAAAGCCCGGGGCUCAACCUCGGAAGCGCAUUCGAAACUGUCGGGCUUGAGUACGGGAGAGGGAAGUGGAAUUCCUGGUGUAGAGGUGAAAUUCGUAGAUAUCAGGAGGAACACCGGUGGCGAAGGCGACUUCCUGGCCCUAUACUGACGCUGAGACGCGAGAGCGUGGGGAGCAAACAGG